GGAUUGUGGCUCAGUGGUAGAAUGCUCACCUCACAAGUACGGGACCCUGGGUUCGAUCCUCAGCACCA
rnacentral:tRNA from 1 species